rnacentral:rRNA from 1 species
UGGGGAAUUUUGCACAAUGGAGGAAACUCUGAUGCAGCGACGCCGCGUGAGUGAUGAAGAUCUUCGGAUUGUAAAACUCUGUCCUUAGUGAAGAUAAUGACAGUAACUAAGAAGCAAGCCCUGGCUAAAUACGUGCCAGCAGCCGCGGUAAUACGUAGGGGGCGAGCGUUGUCCGGAAUUACUGGGCGUAAAGGGUUCGCAGGCGGCAUGGCAAGUCCGAUGUAAAAGGCGAAGGCUCAACCUUCGUAAGCAUCGGAAACUGUCAAGCUUGAGUGAAGGAGAGGCAAGUGGAAUUCCUAGUGUAGCGGUGGAAUGCGUAGAUAUUAGGAGGAAUACCGGUGGCGAAGGCGACUUGCUGGACUUCAACUGACGCUGAGGAACGAAAGCGUGGGUAGCAAACAGG